rnacentral:rRNA from 1 species
GAUGAACGCUGGCGGCGUGCCUAAUACAUGCAAGUCGAGCGAACAGAUAAGGAGCUUGCUCCUUUGACGUUAGCGGCGGACGGGUGAGUAACACGUGGGUAACCUACCUAUAAGACUGGGAUAACUUCGGGAAACCGGAGCUAAUACCGGAUAAUAUUUCGAACCGCAUGGUUCGAUAGUGAAAGACGGUUUUGCUAUCACUUAUAGAUGGACCCGCGCCGUAUUAGCUAGUUGGUAAGGUAACGGCUUACCAAGGCGACGAUACGUAGCCGACCUGAGAGGGUGAUCGGCCACACUGGAACUGAGACACGGUCCAGACUCCUACGGGAGGCAGCAGUAGGGAAUCUUCCGCAAUGGGCGAAAGCCUGACGGAGCAACGCCGCGUGAGUGAUGAAGGUCUUCGGAUCGUAAAACUCUGUUAUUAGGGAAGAACAUACGUGUAAGUAACUGUGCACGUCUUGACGGUACCUAAUCAGAAAGCCACGGCUAACUACGUG